rnacentral:rRNA from 1 species
UACGUAGGGUGCGAGCGUUGCCCGGAUUUAUUGGGCGUAAAGGGCGCGUAGGCGGUCACGCACGUCCGUUGUGAAAUCGCUCGGCUCAACUGGGCGGGGUCAGCGGAUACGGCGUGGCUGGAGCAAGCUAGGGGGCAAUGGAAUUCCCGGUGUAGUGGUGGAAUGCGUAGAGAUCCGGAAGAACACCGGUGGCGAAGGCGGCCUGCUGGGCAGUGGCUGACGCUGAGGCGCGACAGCGUGGGGAGCAAACAGG